CCCCGACCAGCAAGACCCACGGAGUGGGUUUCAGCAGCUUCGGGCCCGCUUUUGGGCCGUUUCCGGGCCCCGGAUCCGCGAGUCGCUUUGGGAACAAUCGUUCCUCGCGUCGCCGCCGUCGGAUUGAUCCGAUUUGCGCGCGAUUUGGUGAGUAAUCUCACUAAUCCUGGAUUAGUUGGCUAAUUAUGCUUAAGGUUGGUUUAGUUUUAAUUAAUUAUGUUUAGGUUGUUAGAUUAGAAUAAAUUAGCAAUUAUUAGUCAAUUGUGAUGCGAUUUAAAUAAAUUGAUUGCGCAAUUAGCAAGUAGACGUGGUCUACUAAUUGUUGGAAGCAUCUCGGGAAUUUUCCGACCCCUAAUUGGGCUUCAAUUUGGCGAUUCGGGUCUAAGUGAGAUUAUUGGUAUUUAAAUAUUAAUUUUCAGAAUUAAAUUAAAUAAUUAUUUAUUUCCCGAAAAUUCAACUGAGAUGGUCCGGAGCCGGAAUUUUAUGCUGAUGACUGUGGUGAAGUCCGUUUAUUUAACUGAGCACCAAUUUGAGCUAAAUUGGAUUUAUUAUAAUUAAUUUUUAAUUCUCGAAAUUAAUUAAUUAUUUAUUUAUUUUCCGAAAAUUUAACUGAGAUGGUUCGGAAUCGGAAUUUUAUGCUGAUGACCGUGGCGAAGUCCGUUUAUUUAAUUGGGCCUUAUUUUGAGCUAAACGGAAUUUUUUAAUAUUUAAUAAUUAAUUUUCGAAAUUAAUUAAUUAAUUAAUUAAUUUUCGGAAAUUGAGUUUGAGAUGACCGGUGAUCGAAAUCUCGUGCUGAUCGUCGUGGCACGAUCCGUUUAUUUAAUUGAGCUUGAUUUUGUGCUAAAUCAAUUUUUGGGUGAUUUUAGGAUUUAUUCCUAAAUUGUUGAAUUUUGGUUAUUAAUUGGGAAAUAACCGGGUGUCGGUUGACAGCACCAAAAGUGUUUUGGUGGACUACAGAUAAUGGUGGGAUUCGUGGAAAGGAAAUUAUAUUAUUUUAGCUAAGGCCGACCGUGUGCCCACGCACGGGUAUUUUUUAUCAGAAAGGAUAAAAAAAAAUGGUGAUUUGAUUAAAUGAUUAUUCCGGCAUACUAUAAAAGUAUGGUUGGCAGCUUCUGGUGAAAAUUGGGGGUAUACUAUAUCGGCCUUCGGGCGAUAUGUCAGCUUUGGGUGAGCAGUAUACCAGUAUACUAUAUCGACCUACGGGUGAUAUGUCAGCUUUGGGUGAGCAGUAUACUUUAUUAUCAGCUUUGGGUGAGCAUAUGGUAUACUAUAUCGGCCUUCGGGUGAUAUGUCAGCUUUGGGUGAGCAGUAUACCAGUAUACUAUAUCGACCUACGGGCGAUAUGUCAGCUUUGGGUGAGCAGUAUACUUUAUUAUCAGCUUUGGGUGAGCAUAUGGUAUACUAUAUCGGCCUUCGGGCGAUAUGUCAGCUUUGGGUGAGCAGUAUACCGGUAUACUAUAUCGGCCUUCGGGCGAUAUGUCAGCUUUGGGUGAGCAGUAUACUUUAUUAUCAGCUUUGGGUGAGCUAUGCUAUCUAUUUAUCAGCUUUGGGUGAGCAGUCCUGAUUUGAUAGGACUUUAUAGAUAGUAUUGAAUAUGUCGACCGAGCAUGGGUCGUGAUGUCAUGUAAUCGACUAGGUCGAUUGAUCAUUGAUUUGAUUUGAUGUCGUGGAUUGAUUGACUGAUUGGAAAUGACCGUGAGUGGUCUUGUUGGUGUGUAAUCGACUAGGUCGAUUCGAUCGAUGCUUUGAUCGGUGGUAUGAUUGCUUGGGUGCCUAUUAUGAAUUGUACUGACUUGCAGGUGGGAUCUGAUGCCAAGGUACGUCUUCUGCCCUGUGCGUGUUUAGGCAGCCUGUAGUAUAAUGGUUUACUAAUCGGGCUUAGUGGGGUAGAACUCGCUGAGACGUAGUCUCAUCCCAGUUUGGGGAAAAACAUUUCAGGACCCGAUAAGGAGCUGAGGAGGAGAAGUCUGGGAAGGAGAUCUUGGAGGUGAAACUUGAAGGGAAGGAUUUUGAAAGAAGAAGAUAAUACCGAGAUGGGCCUUGAGUAUGGCCUGGA
rnacentral:lncRNA from 1 species